AUUCAACUGACGAGUGUCAAAUAGAAUGAAACACAUGUCCUGGAU
rnacentral:hammerhead_ribozyme from 1 species